rnacentral:rRNA from 1 species
UCUUGAUUAGUGGCGCACGGGUGAGUAAUGCAUAGAUAAUGUGCCCCUUAGUUCGGGAUAGCCACUGGAAACGGUGAUUAAUACCGGAUACUCCUUCUUGUUAUAAGACAAGUCGGGAAAGUUUUUCGCUAAGGGAUCAGUCUAUGUUCCAUCAGCUUGUUGGUGAGGUAAUGGCUCACCAAGGCUAUGACGGAUAUCUGGUUUGAGAGGAUGAUCAGACACACUGGAACUGAGACACGGUCCAGACUCCUACGGGAGGCAGCAGUGAGGAAUAUUGCACAAUGGAGGAAACUCUGAUGCAGCAACGCCGCGUGGAGGAUGACGCAUUUCGGUGUGUAAACUCCUUUUAUUAGGGAAGAUAAUGACGGUACCUAAUGAAUAAGCACCGGCUAACUCCGUGCCAGCAGCCGCGGUAAUACGGAGGGUGCAAGCGUUACUCGGAAUCACUGGGCGUAAAGGGUGCGUAGGCUGGCUUUUAAGUCAGAUGUGAAAUCCAAUGGCUCAACCAUUGAACUGCAUUUGAAACUGAAAGCCUAGAGUUCAGAAGGGGCAGAUGGAAUUAGUGGUGUAGGGGUAAAAUCCGUAGAUAUCACUAGGAAUAUCAAAAGCGAAGGCGAUCUGCUGGGAUGAUACUGACG